GGUCCUACGGGGGGCAGCAGUGAGGAAUAUUGGUCAAUGGGCGGGAGCCUGAACCAGCCAAGUCGCGUGAGGGAAGACGGUACUAUGGAUUGUAAACCUCUUUAGGCGGGGAGCAAUGACGGGCACGCGUGCCCGGAGGGAGAGUACCCGCAGAAUAAGCAUCGGCUAACUCCGUGCCAGCAGCCGCGGUAAUACGGAGGAUGCGAGCGUUAUCCGGAUUUAUUGGGUUUAAAGGGUGCAUAGGCGGAUUUUUAAGUCAGCGGCAAAAUGACCGGGCUCAAACC
rnacentral:rRNA from 1 species